AAUACCAACGUCACCCCUUCAUAAAAUCCUCUUCCGCGCUUAACUCAACAAUGUAUGGUGUACAGGUCAUAUUGUGCGGGCCACAAAAAGAUGAUGAAGUACAACCUAACGUUACUUGAUCCUGAUGAUGAAUGACUCAGCGAAAAUGGUUUACGAUCAGAUUAUGAAGAUCAAUCUGCUCGAUCCUGGGUGACAAUGGUGUACGAUCAGGGUAAAACCACCUUUAAGCUGACCGUGUUAAGGAAACCAGGACAGCCCAUGCUCCUGUUGUGCCUCGAGUUGUUGUCGGAUGGCUGGAACCUCUAGUCAGACUCAUCACAACAGUUGCCUGUGUGGCGGAAUGGAAAGUUGGCUGAUCCUGCAGUUUUUUGGGCUACAUCGCAAAAUGGACCACAAGUCAAGGUUCCUAGAGGCUGUCAGACCAGUUGCAUUUGCAAUAAAUGUCCUUGACGCAUCAAUAUAAACUGAGCAGGGUUUGGUCAUGAAAGUGUGCAAGAGCAAUCACCACUGACCUGCAAUGUUCUUCACUAUUUGUUUGAUGGUGCUGUCAAAAUAUUUUAACUGUACAUGUGGUGUAAACUAUUGAUUAGUCAAUAAAAACACUCCAUGCAUUGGUUUUUCACUUGCCAUUGUCCAUAACAAUAAUGGGGUACAUUAAAUUGUGCUGUGUAUAUACAUGUGAUGUCUUAGUCCCAGAGAAUGUCAAUGUUCUCUACCAACAGCCAUUAAAGAUUUUGAAGUUAAAUGUGAGGCCUGUUGUCUUGGCAUUCGUCUGCAGCCAUAACCUCGUCUCAACAUAAUAUAUGGUUGCAAAGAUCUGUACGUAAUUCCCAAAACUUAAGUUUUAUGGCUUGCAAACUCGCUAGACGUCACUCCUUGACUGUUUGGUAUGCUCCCUCGGCCUGAGCAACUCUGAAGACAUGUCUUGGCAAAGGGUGGUCACACCAGGUACUGAUUGGUGAUACAGAACCACACGUACUGUGAUCCUCGACCCCCAAAACCUUUCCCGGGAGUUGUGUCAAAGUCCUGGAUUUCGCGGGUAAUUGUCCUUGAGCUUUUGACCGGGACUGUACCGUGUUAGGAAAGUUAUUCUACAACUUCAUUACGGUAUUAGCAAGUAUAGUACUUAUAAAAGCAGGCUUUAACGUAGAGCUGUUUAGAUCCUGAUUUUUAGACCCUGAUAGUUUGUCUCCGAGCUAGCCAGUAUCACCAAAAGAAUGUUAGCUAGCUAUCCUCAUCACGUAGCAACUUCUUUCUUUGUUCUCACUCAAUGAUGGCGUCUCCCAUCAACCAAGGUUCCAUGGCCUGAACAAGGCCGUCAGCCCACUGUUCCUAGGCCGUCAAUGUAAAUAAGAAUUUGUUCUUGACUUGCCUAGUUAAAGGGGAAAAAAAAGGUAUGUUAAACAAUUCUCUUUAAUGUUUGUCUCAAGUAAAACACUUCAACAGGUGAAAUAAUUAGAUUAGCUAGCUACGUGUCAUUCGGCUUUCAAAGGGGAAAUCAGCCGUUUAUACAUCUUUGGAUUUGAAAAUUGGUAUGUACCCAUUUCACUCUUGAAAAUAUAACUUAAAUAAAUGCCUUAUGAGCUUACUUUGUCGAACCCAAAAUAAAAGCUAGUUUUAUUCCAAUGUUUUUAACAAAGUAAAUGUAACCACUAGGCUCAAGCUAUAUCAAGGAAGGUCAGUCCUUGCAUCUAUAGCUCUGGCUAUGAAUUUGAGUGGUGACAUUUCUCCAGCCCAGUCCCAUCGGUUUUUAACCAGAACAAGAUGGAAGGUGCUUUACUUCAACUGCUGAUUGCCUCUUUUCAUUUGCUUCAUAUUGUAACCUGCAGUAGGCUCUAUGCGAGUGCGGUAUAAUGAAAAGACUGGCUCCUACAAUGACCAGGGGCUUUUGGUCUUGCUGGCAAGGGCUAAUUACCUUUCAGUUUGACCAAAAGGCCUGAAGUCUUGUUCAUAGACAAGGAAAAACUUACAUACACCCAUGUUACAAAUUUCAUAUUGUUUUUGUAGGAGGAAACAUAAUGGCUCACGGGCAUCCUUGUCUUAUCAUGAAAGGAGGGCCUCGUCCCUGGUGACGGAGGCUGAUGCAGUUACAGGACUACCUGUGUCUGUAGUUAAGAACUGGAUUGGUAACUAUGGGCGUUCACUUAAUACCUUCUGCAAGACCCGAUGUCACAAAGCUGCUGGUUAUAAGCGCAGUGUGUCUGCCUAUAAUUUAUUUUGCGCAGAGGUGCUGAAGGGGAAAGGCACCUGCAAGUUCCUGGACAUUUCUGGGGGGGAAUGGCCCUAGCCCUCACCCUCCGAUCCAACAGGUCCCAGGCGUGCUCAAUGGGAUUGAGAUCCGGGCUCUUCGCUGGCCAGUCGACCUCCAGCCCCCCCAAGAAGUGGCGAGGGUCAGCCGGGAACCAGUGGACCUCCAGUGCCCCUCAGACGUGGUGAGGAACGGUUUGGCCUCAGCGGACCUCUGGGGCCCCACAGACCCCAUGUUGCAUCCUCAACUGAUCAGCCGACCUUUGUGGUUUCUUCUGGAUAUCCUGCCUUGGAGACUUUUCUGGGUCUGCCUGUCUUGCCUGGACCCCCCCGGGUCCUCAGGUCCUGCAGUUGCUGGGUCAGUGGGACCCAUAACUGACACUCUUUGCCCACGCCAUGCUGGUGUCAGAUAUAACUCCAGACACCCUGGUGACAUUGGACAUCUCCCAACUUUAUGAACAUUUCAAAUAGAACAAAUCUUCCUAUUUGUAUUGUGUUAUUUUGGUGGUUAAUAUAGGGCAGACAGACAUGUUCUCUACCUUCUCCCCUUAUCACUUGCCUCCUUUUUUGCAGUAAUGCUGCAUUCACUUGGUUGCAUGUCGGUAUACAUCCUAUUCAGAAUAUUGUUAAUAUUUUUAAACAUUGUCAUUACUUGAAGGGCUGUGAAAACAAUGAAAAUGUCACAAUAUAUUUAGGGAUGCAAAACCCAGAUACGAAUCAUGUGUUGAUCUAUUGCCAUGGACGUAGCAUCUUCCUUUCCCAAUCCAUUGGCAAAUUACUUUAAACUGUUUCUCAUUUGAUGAUUUAGGACAGGGUUCCCCAACUGACUGGUUUUAUUUGGCCCCUCAAGUUUUCUGAGCAUCA